rnacentral:rRNA from 1 species
AUGGUUGUCGUCAGCUCGUGUCGUGAGAUGUUGGGUUAGUCCCGCAACGAGCGCAACCCCUGUGGUUAGUUGCCAGCAAGUAGCGUUGGGCACUCUAGCCAGACUGCCGGUGAUAAAUCGGAGGAAGGUGGGGACGACGUCAAAUCAUCAUGCCCUUUAUGUCCUGGGCUACACACGUACUACAAUGGCCGUUACAACGGGAAGCGAAGGAGCAAUCCGGAGCAAAUCCCUUAAAGGCGGUCCCAGUUCAGAUUGUGGGCUGAAACUCGCCCACAUGAAGGCGGAAUUGCUAGUAAUUGCAGAUCAGCAUGCUGCAGUGAAUACGUUCCCGGGCCUU